UGAAAACAUUUCCGUGAAAACAUGAUCAAUAAGUAUAUUAGAGUCUGCGAAGUAUAAGACUACGAAAAUAAUAUUCUCGGACUUCGGAUUGAGAAGAGCUCAGUAUUUCGCGGAACAACAGGCAGGGGUCAUAACAAAGCUCAGGGAAGAUAUGUUUUGUGUUCGUUCAACUGUGUAAAGCUCCUAUUAUGAAUUUGGAUCGCCUUGCAAUGUAUUGCGAAAUUUGGGGAUUCCUAUUCAAUUGACGGAUAUUUAGUCGCAUUUUCUGCAUUGUGAAAUCGAUUUAAACGACGUUAGACGGUGAACUUGCCCCGGGCAUUGUUCGUUUGGUUUUCUUCAAGAUCACACUUGCCACUCACUGACUCUGCAGUGUAGGUCACACAACACAGAUUGCACAGGUGCCUGGCUAUAGCUGGAACGGAUCGUCUUUGAAUCCUCGUUUUCUUGCUCCUUGAUCUUCAGCUACACCUUUUCUCGAUAUCUCAUCCGCGAACCCUGCAACAUCAAAGGAACACGAUAAAUUAUGCCUGAGAAGCAGGACACUGUGAAAACCAUCACCAUGGACAACAUCAGUCACGCGAAUGUUGAUAAUAAUGACAGAUUAAACGCAAGGAAUAUGCAAAUAACACAGUCGUUGAGACGAAAUGAAGGAGAGGGAAACAUUGACAGCGUCCAACUCUCGAGACAGAACAGUAAAUCAGUAACGAAGAACGAACGGUCAAGCGCCAACUACGAUGGAUGGGGGCCAGUCUUUAAAUCAAGGCGGGAUUUCGUCGACAUGCAUCUUUUUUGAUUUCUCGACAACCCAGAUUUACAACCGGUUGAUUUUAAAGCACCAGUUUUUGACAACGAAGACAAAUACAAUUUAGCAAGUCUUUUGAAUAAAGAAAACUGCAAUUUUUCGAAGCGUGAUGCCACAAAAUGAUGGGUACAGAGGAAGGAUCCGGCGAUGCAGACCAAUUCGUACCGUCAUCGGAAUUGCUUCUACUUCUAGAAUGGAAAGAGUUUUAAAGAUGCAGAAAUCAGAUCUGACAUAAUAUUCAGACAUGAGGUGAUGCUGAAAACCAUCUAUAUGCCGCAAUAUGACGUAGUUACUUGCCUGUGAUCUGAACUUUUUCCUUGAUCUCAUUUCAUGCAUGGGGCCAUGUAUCAUUCAAAUGAAAUUAGUGAAAUAUAAUGGGACAAGUGCAUGUUCGUGUAUUAGAGAAUAAUUUUUACCUUUUCACAAAUUUGUAUGAAUUGAAGGUAAGUUUGAAGAAAUGGAGG